UGAAGUCCACUGUGACAACAGGAUAUACAGGCUCCUUACAAAAACUAUAGGUUUCACAUGUGUCCAUAAAAACGUACAGAACCACUGAACAAUUGGGACCAAAGCACAAUAUGUAUUUCAGAUUACUUUAAGUACAUUAGCAGUGUAACGGCUGUUUGAAGAAGAGGAACCAGGUGCUGCGUGGUACGUGUUCAUGAUUUUUAAUAACACUGAACACUAGAACAAAAAAUAACAAAGCGGAACACACAAAACAGAAAAUAACUACCCACAAAACACAGGUAGGAAAAGGCUACCUAAGUAUGGUUCCCAAUCAGAGACAACGAUUGACAGCUGCCUCUGAUUGAGAACCACAGCCGGCCAAACACACAGAAAUAGAAAACAUAGCACACAAAACAUAGAAUGCCCACCCCAACUCACGCCCUGACCAAACCAAAACAGAGACAUAAAGAGGAUCUCUAAGGUCAUGGCGUGACAAGUAGACCUGAAUUAUAAUACAAUAUGAGUACUUUUUCACCUAAAAAAAAUAUACGUUUAUCAUACUCACUUCAUGGAACAUUUAUGUAAUUUUCAAUUGCUUUAAGCUACUUUCAUUUCAUGUGAGCUUUUCACUUUGACUAAUGAACUGCAAAGAGUGCUUAUAUCUAAUAUUGACGAGGUAAUAUUGACUCAUACAUUUCUUUACAAUCUUUCCACUCUUUGAACAGGCUCCUCCUUCAUGUCUGUCAGUUGAUGGUGAUAUACAGGCUGAGAUGGACAUGGAAGAGAGAGAGAGGAUCUCUACCUCUUACUGUAACUCACAGUCACUCUCAGUGUGUUCUGUAUAACCAUGGUACUCUGUCUGAUCAUCUGGCUGGUUCUUCAUGUAUUCUGCUUCGAGUGCACAGGAGACCAUGUUCAACAGCAACCAGGAGGUGUGAUUGCUACCGAAGGAGGACUGGUAACACUGAGUUGUCAAUAUAACACCAAUGCUAAUAAUGCAUAUCUAAAUUGAAACGAACAAGAAGCAAAUUACUUCCCUAAACAUAUGCUGAGACUAUUCUUUUGGAUCUGGAGACAAUACUGCAGGGUUCAACACAAGUCUUUAUGCCAAAACACAAUCAGUCCCCUUGACGACUCAGAGGUUGCAACUGUCUGAGUCUGCUGUGUACUACUGUGCUCUGAGGCCCACUGUGACAACAGGGUCUACAGGACCCUUGCAAAACAGUGUGUGUGUGCACAUGGGUGCGUGUGUAGAGUACUUGUUGCGUGCCGUUUUUUAAGCCAAGGGGAGGUGUUAUUUAACUGAGGUAAAGGAAAGGUUUUGCCUUUUAUAGCUGACAGUUGGAGAUCUCCUCUGUUGAAGAGACAGACUACUCUGUACUACUGUGCCCUGGAGCCCACAAUGAAACAAAACCCAGAUACACUGUACAAAAAUGUGAACUGAAAAUACUGACAUCCCCUAAGAGAAACAUGUUCAUUAUUAGGUUACUUUCAAUAAACAAGACAUAUAUAUAUAUAUAUAUACAUGUAGGUUGGAAAUGAACAGUGAAUUAUUUGUUGAAACAAAUGAACAAAUGAAAAAGUGACAGAAACUCAUUCGGGUAUCUGAAUAUGUUGCAGAUUUAGACUGUAGAUUAUACCUAUAAAGAUGAAAACAAAAAUAUCUGUAUUUUUUCUAUAUUCCAGUUUCAGCCAUAAUGUCAACCUACAUGUAUUUUGCUUUUAGUAGUUGCAUGUAAGUACUCUAUAAUCUGUCAAUUUGUAUUGGUGUUAUGUUGAAUCUAAACUAAGUGUUGAUGCGUUCAAAUAUAAAAUAAGAGGUUUUCAUGUUAAGUCUCAUGCUUGUUUUCUUCUCCUUCACAUGUGAUACUUUAGAGGAUGAUAAUACUCCAACCAGUCCUGAGGAGUAUUAUUUAGAGGGUACCAGAGUUAAGAUCUCCUGUAACUAACUGUGGUACAGACAGUACUCUGGAUCAGGACUCCAAUUCCUUUACUUCGUAACAACUAACAAUAAUCCAUAUGAAGUGAGAGGUGAUCCGCAAGACUUUCUACUGUCUGUUACACUGAACAAGGAGAGAACCUGCAUGGAUCUCCUCUGGUAAAGUGACGUACUCUGCUCUGUACUACUGUGUCCGAGGCCCACAGUGACAGGAAACCCAGAAACACUACAAUAACCUGACUGUAAUAAAGUCCUACUAGUAAACACCAUGUAAUAGGCAAGCAUAUGUAUACAAAUAAUCAGAGAUCAUGUUCAUGAUUAUCCAUCAAUUAAGUCAUAUUUGUUAAUCACAGAUUAUAAUGUUGAUGUAAUGUGGGUCCAUUUACUGAAUAGGGGGAGCUAAGAUGAGAGGUGGAGAGAUGAUUCUCCUCUAUCUGACUGGAACAGUAGGAUGUCUUCAGUUCUCCCUCCUGAUAACACACUGUUACACCCAUCACCAUGUUUCUCUACCCAGUGUUUCUCCUCUCUGCACUUGUUGCUGAGUAUUAGUCUGACAUUACAUAUUUUUUGUUGAUUUAACCUUUCUGAUCUCCCCAUCCCGGAUCCGGGUUCGUGAAUAGAGACUCAAGCUCAUUACCAUAACGCAACGUUAACUAUUCAUGAAAAUCGCAAAUGAAAUGAAAUAAAUAUGCUAGCUCUCAAGCUUAGCCUUUUGUUAACAACACUGUCAUCUCAGAUUUUCAAAAUAUGCUUCUCAACCAUUGCAAAACAAGCAUUUGUGUAACAGUAUUGAUGGCUAACGUAGCAUUUAGCAUUAGCAUUCAGCUGGCAACAUUUACACAAAAAAACAGAAAAGCAUUCAAAAAAAUCAUUUACCUUUGAAGAACUUCAGAUGUUUUCAAUGAGGAGACUCUCAGAUAGCAAAUGUUCAGUUUUUCCUGAAAGAUUAUUUGUUUAGGACAAAUCGCUCCGUUUUCUGCGUCACGUUUAGCUAUGAAAAAACCCCUGUAUCCAGGAUUGUGUAAAUCUAUCAGCAAGCUCAUUAGCAUAACACAACGUUAACUAUUUAUGAAAAUCGCAAAUGAAAUGAAAUAAAUAUGCCAUCUCUCAAGCUUAGCAUUUUGUAAACAACACUGUCAUCUCAGAUUUUCAAAAUAUGCUUCUCAACCAUAGGAAAACAAUCAUUUGUGUAAAAGUAGCUAGCUAGAGUUAGCAUUUCGCGUUAGCAUUUAGCGUUAGCAUUAGCGUUAGCAUCCAGCACGCAACAUUAACAAAAACAUAAAAGCCUUCAAAUAAAAUCAUUUACCUUUGAAGAACUUCUGAUGUUUUCAAUGAGGAUACUCUCAGUUAGAUAGCAGAUGCUCAGUUUUUCCAAAAAGAUUCCUUGUGUAUUAGAAAUAGCUCCGUUUUAUACAUCACAUUUGGCUACCAAAAAAAAUCCAUAAAUUCAGUCCUCAAAACGCAAACUUUUUUCCAAAUUAACUCCAUAAUAUCGACUGAAAACAUGGCAAACGUUGUUUAGAAUCAAUCCUCAAGGUGUUUUUCACAUAUCUCUUCAUUGAUACAUCGUUCUUGGACACAUGCUUUCUCUCCUGAAUCCCAGGAGAAAAUGCCCCGCACCUGAAGAUUACGCACAAAUUUAGACAAAGGACACCGGGCGGACCUCUGGAAAAUGUAGUCUCUUAUGGCCAAUCUUCCAAUGAUAUGCCUACAAAUACGUCACAAUGCUGCUAAGACCUUGGGCGAACGACAGAAAGUGUAGGCUCAUUCCUUGCGCAAUCACAGCCAUAUAAGGAGAGAAUGGAAAACAGAGCUUCAGAAAUUCUGCUAAUUCCUGGGUGAUGCAUCAUCUUGGUUUCGCCUGUAGAAUGAGUUCUGGGGCACUUACAGACAAAAUCUUUGCAGAUUCUGAAACUUCAGAGUGUUUUCUUUCCAAAACUGUCAAGAAUAUGCAUAGUCGAGCAUCUUUUCGUGACAAAAUAUCGCGCUUAAAACGGGAACGUUUUUUAUCCAAAAAUGAAAUAGCGCCCCUAGAGCUCUAAGAGGUUAAUGUAACUGUCAAGUGUCAUUUGAAAAUAGCACUUCCUAGAAGAAAUGUAAAUGACUGAUUAUAAUUUCACUUGUUUUGAAGAUGACACAGAGUAUGUAAUAAUGUCCCGUGAACUGACAUUUUUUAUCUAAACUUAACUUUAUUACAGGUGGCAGUUAUGAAAAUGACAUAAACCCAACUUCAGAGACAGAACAUGGCGUGGAGGGAAGCAAUGUUAAACUGUCUUGUAGCUACUCUGACUCAGUAGACUAUCUUCAAUAGUAUCGUCAAUAUCCCAGAUCAGCACCGCAAUUCCUGCUCUAAACUACAGUCUCCUCAAAGCCCUCUGUAUUUAGAGCUGAACCUGAUGACCCUCGACUGUCUGUUAAUCUGAAUAAAGAGAGAACCAGCGUGGAUCUGGAGAUCUCCUCUGCUGAAGUGACAGACUCUGCUCUGUGCAGGGGGGUGCGUCCUACCGUAGUUUCAAGAAAAUCAGUUACCCUGUAAAAAACUGUGUUGGACUUCACUCCAGCAUAUAACUUCAGCUACAAUAUAAUGGUUCUCUACUGAGUUAUUUUACUUUCUGUUCUGUAAAUUACUGUAUUCCUGUCCUUCUUUUAUCUUAAUGUUUUGGCUAUUGUAUAGUUUAUCAGUAUUUUGGUAUUUUAACUACUUUCUUCAUAAUGACAUAUAACAUGAAUGGAGUACCACUGUAUCAAAUAUCCUAGUUUCAUACUCCUAAUUAUCCUUACACCUCUGAAGAAUCUAGUCACUUCCAUGACAGUCAGAAGAUCUACAAUAUUUUAUCUCUGAACACUCAAAAGCAGCUUUAUAAAACGAAGUGUAC
rnacentral:lncRNA from 13 species